rnacentral:sRNA from 10 species
GGCUAUUAAGUGCAGUAGUAUUUACAUCUAAAUGAUCACAACCAGUUACAGAUUUCUUUGUUCCUUCUGUUCCCACUGCUGUACUUGACUAACCAAAA